GCAUCCCCGCGUACGAUCGCAUCGGUUUUGGGAUCGUAGUCGGCCGGCUUGCGAUACAGAGCAACCCCGAUCGUCGAUUCCUUGAUCUGUUCACCUUUGCCCUCGAGUGUCUCCUCGACAAUGUGCCGGAGGAAACUACGCAGUCGUUCAGAUGUGGAGAACGAGGCGCUUGCGAGCACUCGCUCCAGUUCGCGCCGUACUGCCUCUCCAGUUACGGUUUGUGCCU
rnacentral:misc_RNA from 1 species